AAUAUGAUAUAGUAAAGGAUGGCUUGCACUCAUGUUCUUUUGGAGAGAAAAAAUAUUCCUUUAUUAGAAGUUAUUGCAUAAAAUCAUCAACUUUGAUGGUUGAUCCCGAGGAAAGCCCCAAACAACGGCUGAAACGAUGAUGAUUUUAUGGAAAAACUUCUAAUAAAGGAAUAUUUUUUAUCUCCAAAAGACUGUGAGUGCAAGCCGUCCUUUGCUAUAUUAU